rnacentral:lncRNA from 1 species
GGAGAAUUGAAUCCUAUAUCUCUGUCUUUGAGUGGGUAACGCCAACUCCCUGCCUCGGUUUCCUUUUCCAAUCCGAUGUGGAUGACCUCUAGCAAGCCUUCCUCUUAUUGCCUCAUCCCUUGCCGAUCAUUAGUCUGUUCAAUUCCAGGCGUCUUAAAGAACUUUGGUUGGAAGUGGGUAGACCUUCUGACUCACACCUUUACAGACAUUGCUGCAUAUAGUAUAUUACUGUAUAUCGUAUCUUAUUGCGGGAAGGCAGGUCGAAUAUUCUUUCCGAGGUUCUUUCAUAUGUUAAGGAAGAGCAUUCUUCCUACCCGGGUGUGUAGACCGCGCCUCCUAAGGUCUGCUCUCCCAGAGGCGACGAGGCUUCAGUUAAUUCUUCACUGGCCUGCUGGACUGUGCAGGAUUCUGGCCUUUCAGCAGCAAACCCCCGGGCUGAUGACCCUCGGGCCCUGCUGAAGAAUUUGUUCCUGGCUGAAAGUCUGUAGCACACCACUCAGCUAUGCAGGGUUCACCGUGCUCUCGGUCUAGCUGAAGACCUACAGACAUUCCUGAAGGCUUUCUCGGCUCCAUUUUAGACUUUUACUCCAGAAAGCUAGGACUGCCUCAGACCAAUUGUACUCUAUUUACAUUUUUUAAACUUAUUAUUUGGGAGGUGGCGUGGGGCGCGUGUGGAGGUCAGAGGACAACUUUUAGGAGUCACUUCUCUCCCACCGUGAGCCCUGGGGAUCCAACUCCAGCCCUCCGGCUUGAUGACAAACACUUUGUCACCCUCCACUUCCUUUAUUUCAGAAUUUUUCAGCCUGGACUCCUCGGCGUCCAAACUGUAAGGUAUUCCGGAUGCCUUUCCUAAGAGUUAUACCUGCAGCCAGACAACGAAUCUUCCAGAAGUCCCGUUCCGAUAGGCAGCCUUCUUGGACGGGCUAACUGUAGCUGCUGACAUAUAAGGACUCCCAUUUCUACCUACCAUGUGCCCUCAUGACCCGAAUUUUCCAUGUUUUCUGCCCUCAAAUGCAAGCCUGUUUCUAAGUAUCCCGUAGCUGCUACUGCUUGGUUAGAUAAAAACUGUCCUUCAGAAAGGCUCCUGUGUUUGAUGCUUGGCCCCCAGCUGCUAUGCUAUUUUGGGAGGUGCUGGAAACUUUAGGAGGUGGGGCCUCACUGGUUGAAGUAGGUCGUUAGAAGCCAGUCCUUGGAGUUAUCUUGUUCCUGGCCUCUUCCUGUCUUCUGCUUCCUAUCCACCACGAGGUGAGCAUGUUCCCACUGCUAUGCUCUUCUGCCUGAGAGCAGGGGCCCCAAGUCAACAGAGCCAGGAACCAAAGAUGGAAAACCACGAAUUAAAAGGGAUUCCUCCCUUAAACUGUUCAUGCCAGGAUUGAUGUAAGAGGGCCCAGCCAAGUGUGGGCAUUGCCACCCCUGGGCAAGUGGGGUGUGUAAGAAAGCAGGGUGAGCAACAUGAGGAGAAAGCCAUUAAUCAGCACACCCUCCCCACCCCACCCCCAUGGCCUCUGCAUCGGUUCCUGCCCGGACUUCUCUUCCUGAUGGACUACAACUAUAAGCUAAAAUAAACACUUUCCUCAAGUCCCUUUUGAUCGUGGUGUUUUUAUCAUAGCAAUUGAAAGCAAAGUGAGACAAACGCUGUCUCCUAUUUUUGAUAAAUCUACUGCACUCUAAUAAGAGAUCAUGUCAGGGCUGGGAGCCCUGUGGCAGAGUGAAUGCUUAGCUUGCUUGAAGCCCCAGGUUUGGUCCCCAGCAAAAGAGAGGAAAAGGGAGAGAAAAAG